rnacentral:rRNA from 1 species
CUUGACACUGAACAUUGAGCCUUGAUGUGUAGGAUAGGUGGGAGGCUUUGAAGCGUGGACGCCAGUCUGCGUGGAGCCGACCUUGAAAUACCACCCUUUAAUGUUUGAUGUUCUAACGUUGGCCCCUGACCGGGGUUGCGGACAGUGUCUGGUGGGUAGUUUGACUGGGGCGGUCUCCUCCCAAAGCGUAACGGGGGAGCACGAAG